UCGCACCUACCGAUUGAAUGGUCCGGUGAAAUUUCGGGAUUGAUUGAUAGUUGAUUUAUUUUGAUUGUUAAUCGAGAACUUACUUAAACCUUAUCAUUUAGAGGAAGGUG
rnacentral:rRNA from 1 species